AUUGAACGCUGGCGGCAGGCCUAACACAUGCAAGUCGAACGAGUGGCGGACGGGUGAGUAAUGUCUGGGAAACUGCCCGAUGGAGGGGUAUAACUACUGGAAACGGGAGCUAAUACCGCAUACCAUCGGAUGUGCCCAGAUGGUAUUAGCUAGUAGGUGGGGUAACGGCUCACCUAGGCGACGAUCCCUAGCGGGUCUGAGAGGAUGACCAGCCACACUGGAACUGAGAAACGGUCCAGACGCCUACGGGAGGCAGCAGUGGGGAAUAUUGCACAAUGGGCGCAAGCCGGAGGCAGCCAUGCCGCGGGUAUGAAGAAGGCCUUCGGGUUGUAAAGUACUUUCAGCGAGGAGGCGUUACUCGCAGAAGAAGCACCGGCUAACUCCGUGCCAGCAGCCGCGGUAAUUC
rnacentral:rRNA from 1 species